rnacentral:tRNA from 1 species
GCCCCUGUAGCUCAAUGGAUAGAGUGUGGGUUUGCGGAGCCCGAGAUCGAGGUCCGAUUCCUCGCAGGGGCA